rnacentral:rRNA from 1 species
UCCGUAGGCGGUGUGGCAAGUCGGUAGUGAAAUCUCUCGGCUUAACUGAGAGGCUGCUGCCGAAACUGCCAUGCUCGAGUGCGAGAGAGGCGAGUGGAAUUACGGGUGUAGCGGUGAAAUGCGUAGAUAUCCGUAGGAACAUCCGAGGCGAAAGCGGCUCGCUGGAUCGCAACUGACGCUGAGGGACGAAAGCUAGGGGAGCAAACAGGAUUAGAUACCCUGGUAGUCCUAGCCCUAAACCAUCAGGACUUGGGGUUUGCCCUGUACGGGGCAAGUCCCGGAGCUAACGCGUUAAGUCCUGCGCCUGGGGAGUACGGUUGCAAGGCUGAA